UUACUGGGCGUAAAGCGUGCGCAGGCGGUUUGUAAGACAGAGGUGAAAUCCCCGGGCUCAACCUGGGAACUGCCUUUGUGACUGCAAGGCUGGAGUGCGGCAGAGGGGGAUGGAAUUCCGCGUGUAGCAGUGAAAUGCGUAGAUAUGCGGAGGAACACCGAUGGCGAAGGCAAUCCCCUGGGCCUGCACUGACGCUCAUGCACGAAAGCGUGGGGAGCAAACAGGAUUAGAUACCCUGGUAGUCCACGCCCUAAACGAUGUCAACUGGUUGUUGGGUCUUGACUGACUCAGUAACGAAGCUAACGCGUGAAGUUGACCGCCUGGGGAGUACGGCCGCAAGGUUGAAAACUCAAAGGAAUUGACGGGGACCCGCACAAGCGGUGGAUGAUGUGGUUUAAUUCGAUGCAACGCGAAAAACCUUACCCACCUUUGACAUGUACGGAACUUGCCAGAGAUGGCUUGGUGCUCGAAAGAGAACCGUAACACAGGUGCUGCAUGG
rnacentral:rRNA from 1 species